rnacentral:rRNA from 1 species
ACCAGACUCCUACGGGAGGCAGCAGUGGGGGAUAUUGCACAAUGGGGGAAACCCUGAUGCAGCGACGCCGCGUGAGCGAUGAAGUAUUUCGGUAUGUAAAGCUCUAUCAGCAGGGAAGAAGAUGACGGUACCUGACUAAGAAGCCCCGGCUAACUACGUGCCAGCAGCCGCGGUAAUACGUAGGGGGCAAGCGUUAUCCGGAUUUACUGGGUGUAAAGGGAGCGUAGACGGCGAUGCAAGCCAGAUGUGAAAGCCCGGGGCUCAACCCCGGGACUGCAUUGGAAACUGUAUAUCUAGAGUGUCGGAGAGGCAAGUGGAAUUCCUGGUGUAGCGGUGAAAUGCGUAGAUAUCAGGAGGAACACCAGUGGCGAAGGCGGCUUGCUGGACGAUGACUGACGUUGAGGCUCGAAAGCGUGGGGAGCAAACAGGAUUAGAUACCCGGGUA